rnacentral:tRNA from 1 species
GAGGGGGUGGCUGAGUGGUCGAAAGCGACGGACUGUAAAUCCGUUCAGAAAUGCGCGUAGGUUCGAAUCCUACCCCCCCCA